UCACCUUUGGCUCAGUCAGUAGACCAUUACGCUAACAACGAAAAGGUUGUGAGUUCAAACCCAAAGGAGAG